GUAUGUGAAGAUGAUCUGGCUGUGAUGUGUGUGACUCCAUUGCUUGCCAGGAUUGACUUGGCUGAUCUGGCUACUUAGGAAGGUAUCCUCAUCUUCCCUCAGUGCUCCAUGUGUAUCUACCUGAAGCUGAAUAUGUGGUUGGAGAGGAUGACCUUCCCCAAUAGAGGAUGGUUCUUUGGUCAAGGGUAUACGAGUAGCUACACUCCAUUGUGAGAACCUCUAAAGAUAUUCUUAAGUAUCUGCCAUACUGAAUUUGAUAAACACUGUAUCAAUUCAUUUUAUUUAAAAAUUUUCUAU
rnacentral:snRNA from 1 species